GACUAAAUAUACUCCAUGAUAUAGUCCAUCUUGUUGGAGAUGCUCUAAUCAUUAUCGCUGACAUAUAAACGGACAAAUCUUUAGAGGGCACGUGACUAGCUGCAUGGCAUAACUUGCCACGUGGAUAAAGAACUUUGUUCACUAUAUAUACCCCGAUCUUCAUUUAACAAACAAGAAACUUGAGAGUCCCAUGCACUUGUUCUAAUAAGAGAAAUAUUGCCUCCCCUUAACUCUCUUAACACAAUGUGUUCCAACCUCCAUGUAUAUUUUGCCUCUUCAACUCAACCUUAUUCCUAACUUCGAAC
rnacentral:lncRNA from 1 species